GGUGGGUUGGCUCAAUGGGUAGAGCUAAGGGCCCGCGACCGGGAGGUCCGGGUUCGAAUCCCGCAAAAGGCG
rnacentral:tRNA from 1 species